CCAGGCAGCUGCAGAGCAGCCCUAGGCGUCCUGGAGUGGGGAAAAAAGCAACCCUUGUCCUCCGAGUCACCUAGCAACAGCCUGCACCGCUGCCCACGUGUGGGGCCGUCUUUCACCCAGAAAGAACCAAAGCUUUUCCAUCGUAUGGAAGUAGGGUAAAAGUAAUCUACAAUGUGGCUACUGGGCUGUCCUGACCCGGGAGAUACCCCAGGCCUGCGCCUCCUUAGAGGGCACAAAGUGGCCGCCCAUCUAGGCACAGAGGAAGAGCACUUCUGAUCUUGCUGUCCACACCUCUGUCAGAGCCAGCGUGGCAGUAAAGAUUCAUCCCUAAAUAAAAGAAGUACCUGCUGUACA
rnacentral:lncRNA from 1 species